rnacentral:tRNA from 1 species
CCCCGUCUAGCUCAAUGGUAGAGCUCUCGGCUGUAGCCCGAGUGGUUGGUGGUUCGAAUCCGCCGGCGGGGA